GCGAGAGUGGUGGAAUUGGCAGACGCGCUAGAUUCAGGUUCUAGUGUCCGCAAGGACAUGCAGGUUCAAGUCCUGUCUCUCGCACCA
rnacentral:tRNA from 1 species